GACGUAGGAUGCAAGCGUUGUCCGGAAUUAUUGGGCGUAAAGAGUUCGUAGGCGGUUACCUAAGUCUGGCGUUAAAGCCCGAAGCUCAACUUCGGCAUGGCAUUGGAAACUGGGUGGCUAGAGUGUGGUAGAGGGCUCGGGAAUUCCUGGUGUAGCGGUGAAAUGCGUAGAUAUCAGGAGGAACACCGGCGGCGAAAGCGCGAGACUGGGCCAUAACUGACGCUGAGGAACGAAAGCCAGGGGAGCGAACAGG
rnacentral:rRNA from 1 species